AUGCCAAUGGGCGCUUCAGUUCAAUCUCGUCGGCGCGAACCAGCUACCGAGCGGGGGCAGCGGAGAUGGACAUCGACCAAGGCACGACAGGAGGUGGCCGGGACCAGAGGAGGCACGACAGGAGACGGGUCGGGAGCAGAUGGGAGGCGUUGGCCGGGAGCAGCGAAGGUGUCGGCAACCGGCAACCAGGAUUGGGGGCGUUCGGGUCCUUACGGCGCCAGCGUCCGCCAUGCAUCAGGCAGCCAUGCUUGCCGUCCUAAGAUGGUCUUGAACGGCCCGCCGCACGCACAGCCUCUAACCACCCCCAUUCCAGCGCGUCCGCUCUGGUCGCCAUCCGGUCGUUGUGGUCUUAUACCUGUAAAAUAG
rnacentral:rRNA from 1 species